ACGUGGACAGGGGCUAGGGGUUGUGUUCUGCGUGUGGAAAAAAAUUCAUUGUCUUUAUCGCGAAAAAAAAAAAUUGAGAGCAACUCUUCUAAGGAGACGAAGAAGGAGACUCUUCAUCGGAACUGCUAUACCGUCAGAGGUGAUCCAGCGGUGGUGCAGGAGGAGACUCAUCAUCGGAACUGCUAUACCGUCAGCCUUGCGAAGGUGAAAGGGAGGUUCUCAAAAUUGAGAUCCGUGGAGCUUAGGGGAAACAUGUAUGCGUGGAUAGAGGCGAUGGGGAGGGUACGUGUAUCCGUGGAUAGAGGCGAUGUCAACGUCUGUCUGGAGGAGAUAAGGCUGAAGAGGAUGGUUACAAGUCUCGUUGCCAGAUUGUGAACCUUCACCACAUGUUGUCAAAGGCUGUGAUUAAGUCCAAUCCUAGUGUCUUAUGGUGUUACAAGGAAAAACUUGAUAUCAACGAUUAUUACCACCAAGCUCGGCUUGCCAAAAAGUCUGCAAAGCCUCUGUUCUGUCCUUCUCAUCUGAAGGAACACCACCAUCCCGCUUAGCAUUGAGGGAUCGUCCCUGAGGGAUGCAUAGGUUUGGUCAGUGACAUGUGUGUUUCAAUGAUCAAGAUUCUGGUACCUAACUAGCUAUGUCCUAAAAGUCCUCUGAAGCAAUUAUCUUUAGUCUGCCAUAAUGAAAUUUUGGUCUGGAUGUUAUAUCUGCUUAAUCAGAAUUCACCUUGCCUUGUUUGAAUCUAAUAUGUUAAGUCUUUGUGUGUGUGUUCUUGAACAAUUACGUUUACGUAGUACCACACCUGAGGUUCACAGUUCUUGGAUUUUAUCAGAAGUCUUUGCCUUCCUAUUUACCUGCAUAAGAUGAUUAUCUAAAAUGUAUGUUCUGUCUGUUGCAUGUGGUUUUAUUGUGAAGUUCAAAGAAUUGCUGCAUUGAAGUGGAGGAUCAAAUUGCUUGCUACAGAGAAAGACAGAGAGCUGCUUGCUGUUAAACUUGAUAACGAAGCGGAAUGUUUGUUGUUGGUUUAUACGAAUUAAUUAUCUGAAUGGUUUGAUACUCUUAAGUUUUCUUUGUAAACUUCCACUAGGCCUGGUCGAAAGAGGGUCUUCUCAGAGAACAAAACAAAGAACUUGCUACUCUCAGAAGGGAGCAUGAUCAUUCUGAUGCUGAGAGGUCCCAAAAACAUACAUAAACUAUCUGAACUUCAGGAGCAUUUUCAAGAGAAAGAGAGACAAUACGCUGAAUUGCAGGAACAUGUUUGCUUUACACCAUCAAGUUAUGUUUGGACUACCAUUCUUGCCACUCUUCACGCUCUCUGCCUAAUGAUCUGGAUCAGACCCCAAGUGGUAUAGUUUUUAGAAAAAUCUCAUUGCUUUCUUAUUAUCUUAAGGCUUCAUAAAACUAAAUGUAGUUCAAAGUUUUUCUCCCUUAUAUGUAGAACAUAAACACAUUUGAUCAUAUUGCUAAUUCUUUUUAUUCCUAAGGAUUCAAAUAUAAAAAACACCAUUGGACAUU